GUUUUGAUUUUUUGUAAACUUUUGCUGUUUUAAUAAACCAGAUUUUGGUAAACUUUUUUUAAACUCAACCCUUCUCUUGGUGAAUUUUUCUUCAUUCUCCUGUUGUGUUCCCCGACACCGACUUCAAGUGAUUCCACUCAUGGUCGAAUGCCUCUUCUUCACACACUUCAGACGUCCUGACACACUCACCAUGUCGGAGUCGUCCCCCUCCUCCUCACAGUGUCUCUCAGCAGCGUGGGGGUCUCCCACCACCCUCAGCUCACCGAUGACCCCCUGGUAGAAAAAAAAAAAAAAAAA